CGGACGGGUGAGUAAUGUCUGGGAAACUGCCUGAUGGAGGGGGAUAACUACUGGAAACGGUAGCUAAUACCGCAUAACGUCGCAAGACCAAAGGGGGGACCUUAGGGCCUCUUGCCAUCGGAUGUGCCCAGAUGGGAUUAGCUAGUAGGUGGGGUAACGGCUCACCUAGGCGACGAUCCCUAGCUGGUCUGAGAGGAUGACCAGCCACGCUGGAACUGAGACACGGUCCAG
rnacentral:rRNA from 1 species